rnacentral:rRNA from 1 species
UACGUAGGGGGCAAGCGUUGUCCGGAUUUAUUGGGCGUAAAGCGCGUGUAGGCGGCUGGGUAGGUCCGCUGUGAAAACUUGAGGCUCAACCUCAAGAGGUCGGUGGAAACCAUCCAGCUAGAGUCCGGAAGAGGAGAAUGGAAUUCCUGGUGUAGCGGUGAAAUGCGCAGAUAUCGGGAGGAACACCGGUGGCGAAGGCGGUUCUCUGGGCCUUACCUGACGCUGAGGAGCGAAAGCGUGGGGAGCGAACAGG